UAGAUUUUUACAUAUUGCACAGAGGUGAU
rnacentral:piRNA from 1 species